AUUCCAACCGUUAACAUUAUAAGCUCUUGGGGAUUUAUUCAAAUAUCAUAUUCAGUUGAGAUACGACAGAUGUCGACAAAGGACUGUGUUGUCAAUGUGCAAAUACGUGUAGGUGAGCCAACUCUUUCGGGUAUUCUGUAUUCAUCAUGUCUUUUGAGUUGACAAUGAUGGAAUUGCAUGUUUCCUUACCAUACCAAUUGGAAAGGAGGUGAUUCACCAAGUAUGUAGGUGGUGUCAAUAGUUCGGUUUUGAUUGAUUUUGAUUAAAAUUUGAACCAUCAUACAUAAGGAAAAAGAUCCUCUCCAAUGCAUUUGGCACCCAACAGUAACCAACUGUUAGGAGGAUUUGGGGGUGUGCGCACAUGUAUUGGGGUGCAUGUCCGAGUCCUCCCAAUCGUCAGAUACUGCAUUUGGCACCCAAUGCGUUAGCGAGGAGCCAGAGAAACUGGACCAAAUGCUGACCGGAUUUUUCAUCUUUGAUUAAAUUGUAACCCCCACUAUAUCCCCCACCCCCACCCCAAAAAGAAAAAUUUUCCUUGAUUAUAUAUUGCCUCUUGCAAAGGCAAGUCCUCAGCUCCAAGGCACUUUCCAUUUCAGAAAAUAAGGUUAUUAUAACAAAAGUUAAGACUUUAUCCUU